rnacentral:rRNA from 1 species
AAGUCGUGAGGCGGAGCAAACACAAAACACAGUCUCAGUUCAGAUUGUAGGCUGAAACUCGCCUAUAUGAAGUCGGAAUUGCUAGUAAUCGCGGAUCAGCAUGCCGCGGUGAAUACGUUCCCGGGCCUUGUACACACCGCCCGUCACACCAUGAGAGUCGAUAACACCCGAAGCCUGUAGUCUAACAGCAAUGAGGACGCAGUCGAAGGUGGGAUUGAUAAUUAGGGUGAAGUCGUAACAAGGUAUC